GUCCGCGCGGUAAACGAUGGAUGCCCGCCGUUGGGUUUAGAAUUCAGCGGCCAAGCGAAAGCGUUAAGCAUCCCACCUGGGGAGUACGCCGGCAACGGUGAAACUCAAAGGAAUUGACGGGGCCCGCACAAGCGGAGGAACAUGUGGUUUAAUUCGAUGAUACGCGAGGAACCUUACCCGGGCUUGAAUUGCAGGAGAACGAUCCAGAGAUGGUGAGGCCCUUCGGGGCUCCUGUGAAGGUGCUGCAUGGUUGUCGU
rnacentral:rRNA from 1 species